GAUGGUAUGACUCAGGUGGUAGAGUGCUUGCCUAGAAAGCACAAAAACCUGAGUUCAAAUUCUAGUACUUUCA
rnacentral:tRNA from 1 species